GACCGCGUAGCUCAGUUGGAAGAGCAUUGGGCUAGUAUUCCAAAGAUCGUAGGUUCGAAUCCCACCGUGGCCA
rnacentral:tRNA from 1 species